ACAAUGUCGCUUACAGCAUAACUAUAGACGAUCGGUAUAAUAAUAAUAAUAAUAAUAAUAAUAAUAAUAAUAACAUAAUAGUCGUUACAAAAUACCAAUCAAUGCUCAGUUUUUGACAGAAGCUUAUGUAAUGGACCAGAUCUUCUGUAGGUUUUAAAUAUUAUAUUAUAUUUUCUAAUAUAAUAUUUGUUGCACACUUCCAUCAUUGUUAUCGUCAUAAUUUACCUAUUUAUAUAAAGUAUGAUACAAUAUAUUAUAACUCAACAAAUUAUUUUUCCACUAGCUGUCGAUAUUUUCAAACGAUCAUUGAUCAGUUAUAUACUCGUACUAAAGCAUUAUAAAAAUACAAAUUGACAAAAAAAAUUUUGUUUGAUAGCCACUAAUCGAACUGACUAUGGGAGGUAUUCAUUUAAUUUUAAUAUUGAUAAAAUGUGAAGAAUCGAUUAUUAAUGGGAUAAACAAUAUUAUACACAACUAAUCAUGUAUUUCAACACAGCAAUAUCUACUAUAAAUGGUCAUUACUCGGUGAAAUACGUGACGUCGCUCGAUUUCCGCUACGGACUAAACGACGUAUUGCGAUUCAAAUACACAUCUAUUAAAUUUAAAAUAUGUCUCGGAGGACACCAGCGGCAGCGUUUUAAAAUUUUAAAUAUUAUAUUACAUAUGAAGUUAUAUGCCCUAAAUAUACCAGAUUUUCGUCUAAGUGUCUCAAUGAUGCUAAUAAUAAUAGUUGCAGCCGGUUCAAUCGGUAUAAAUUGUAUCAAUGCGAUAAAUAGAAACAAGUAUAAAUGUGUACCGGCGAAGUAUUGCAGUGUGAAUAUAAUUAUGAAUGAGUGAACACUCUAAACGAUUAUUAGUUGUUAUUAUACACGAUUGCGUUAUAAUAUACGUACGUAAUGUCAAAUUGUCGUUUGUCACAUCUACAAUAAGAACGCGUGUACAUUGAAACGCCAAAAACUGUACAGUUACAUUUUAUCUAUAUGCGUAUAUAAUUUAAGAUUUAUUACAAUGGAAUAAUAAAUAUGACGAAGAAACACUUGAACACUACAAUAUUUGACCAUUUAUGCUACGGAAAAGAAGUAUUAUUAAAUUCGUACCUGUAUUAAAACAUAUAUAUUAUAUGGUGUAUUGUUGUAAUGAGAUCAAGUUUCAUACGGACAGUAAAGGCUAUAAGCUAAUUAACAUAAACAUAGUUGGGGUUGGAUGGAUCCAUCCCUUAUUCCCUUAGCCGCUAAACAAACAUCGGUAUAUGGCUAUACACAGUGAACAAAAGACAAUUAACCAGUUUAGCACUCUUAAUUAAAUACUCGACGAGGGAGAAAGAUACCCAGUGUCCAGAACUGGUUUCGAUGGGAACGAAGUAGGGUGAUAUUAUAAUAACCCCCUUCAUAUUGACCAUUGCAGAGCGAAAAUUCGUUUAAUUUAAAAGCCACAACAACAACAACAACGACGACGAAAAUUAAAAGCAUUGGAAUUAUUUGGUUUGUAUUUUGAUCGGUAAUCGGAAUACAGAUCUCCGGGGAAAAAAAUUCCCAGCAUCGUCACGGUGUUUACCUACAGCUCGUUGCAUAUAAUAUAUUAUAUUGUUAUAAAUUUAAAAUCAACAACGCUCCGGGGAAAUCGUUUUGUUUUGGCGAACUUAAUGAAAUGGAUUUCGCGGUGAUCAUAUCCUCUCGACGCCACCACUAUACCCUGCAGUACCAUUGUGAUGCGAACACGUGUUGAUUUUUUGAAGCAUAUCCAGCUCGACCGUAAACCAUCACGUACGUAUAAUACUCCUUUUCGUUUCUUUUUAAUCCCCGUAUAAAGUCCUUGAUCCGGACGGUCGCUAUUUUCGAACGCGACUAUUAUUAUCAUUAUUAUUAUUACUAUUAUUAUUAUUAUUAUUAUUAUUAUUCCCGCCGCGGUCGCAGUAAGACCCUGGCAUACGCAGAACACAGACAGCGUGCAGAAAUGCAACGAGAGAGAAGAAAGCCGGAAAAAA